rnacentral:rRNA from 1 species
GAUGAACGCUGGCGGCGUGCCUAAUACAUGCAAGUCGAGCGAACAGAUAAGGAGCUUGCUCCUUUGACGUUAGCGGCGGACGGGUGAGUAACACGUGGGUAACCUACCUAUAAGACUGGGAUAACUUCGGGAAACCGGAGCUAAUACCGGAUAACAUUUGGAACCGCAUGGUUCUAAAGUGAGAGAUGGUUUUGCUAUCACUUAUAGAUGGACCCGCGCCGUAUUAGCUAGUUGGUAAGGUAACGGCUUACCAAGGCGACGAUACGUAGCCGACCUGAGAGGGUGAUCGGCCACACUGGCACUGAGACACGGUCCAGACUCCUACGGGAGGCAGCAGUAGGGAAUCUUCCGCAAUGGGCGAAAGCCUGACGGAGCAACGCCGCGUGAGUGAUGAAGGGUUUCGGCUCGUAAAACUCUGUUAUUAGGGAAGAACAAAUGUGUAAGUAACUGUGCACGUCCUGACGGUACCUAAUCAGAAAGCCACGGCUAACUACGUG